rnacentral:rRNA from 1 species
AUACGGAGGAUCCGAGCGUUAUCCGGAUUUAUUGGGUUUAAAGGGUGCGCAGGCGGCCAUUUAAGUCAGCGGUUAAAUCGUGGGGCUCAACCCCAUUCUGCCGUUGAUACUGGGUGGCUUGAUUGCGGUCGAGGUUGGCGGAAUUCGUUGUGUAGCGGUGAAAUGCAUAGAUAUGACGAAGAACACCGAUUGCGUAGGCAGCUGACCAGACCGCAAAUGACGCUCAUGCACGAAAGUGCGGGGAUCGAACAGGAUUAGAUACCCUGGUAGUCCGCACAGUAAACGAUGAAUACUUGUUUUCGGCGAUAUAAUGUCGGAGGCAAAGCGAAAGCGAUAAGUAUUCCACCUGGGGAGUACGCCGGCAACGGUGAAACUCAAAGGAAUUGACCGGG